UACGUAGGGUGCAGGCGUUAAUCGGAAUUACUGGGCGUAAAGGGCGCGUAGGCGGCUUACCAAGUCAGGCGUGAAAUUCCCGGGCUCAACCUGGGGGCUGCGCUUGAUACUGGUGAGCUUGAAUGCGGGAGAGGAUAGUGGAAUUCCCAGUGUAGAGGUGAAAUUCGUAGAUAUUGGGAAGAACACCAGUGGCGAAGGCGGCUCACUGGCCCGUAACUGACGCUGAGGUGCGAAAGCGUGGGGAGCAAACAGG
rnacentral:rRNA from 1 species